CAGAGGGCGUCGCGUGCCCGCGGUGGGCACCGCCCGCCUCCUGCGGCUCUGCUCCGGAAUCGGGCGCCCACGGCGCGCUUUGUGACGCAGCACGCGCGUCGGUCUCGGUCUCGGCUGAGCCGCGCGGGUCUCGUUCGCCCGUGGCCACGCCGAAGUCUUCGCUCUCGCACCCUUUCGCACCCAGACGGUGCCCCGAACACACACAGCCAGACGGGGUUUACCACGCUAGGCAGCCCUGUCGCUUCGGCUCCCCAGCCCCCUAGCACAGUGCGGGCGCAGGACGGGAGCCUAACUGGACGGCCAGUUCCCAGACUCUGCUUGAGCACUCUCUCGAAAGUCUAGGCCAACAGACGACUCGGGUUCAACUCAUCUUUUGUGUGCCCUUGCUGAUCUCGGGUGGGCAACUAGCACACCAUUUCUCCUUCCUCUAGACCCGCCCACACGACACCUGUUUAAGAGGGCUUUCUUGAAAUCUUCGAGAUACAGUCCAUUAUGCUGGGAACCUCAAGGCAGAAGGAGCUUGAAGCAGCUGGCCAGGGUACAUCGCGUUCAAGAAACAGGGAGCAAUGAAUGCUUGCUAGUGAGAAGCAACUUUCUCCACUUUAUGCAUGCCAGGAACCCUGCCCAGAGAAUGGUCCCACCUACAGUAAGAUGGGUCUUCCCACAGCAAUUCACCUAAAGGGUCAUCACCCAGGGCUCAAAGGCACACCCUCAGGUCAUCCCAGGUCCUGUCAAGAUGACAGCUAGUACUCAUCAUUACGUGUCCUUUCCUUUUUUGAGAUGUUUGCCUGUUCAUGUUCAUACCAUGAAGGCCCAUAUUUCCACAUGGUGUGACAGCCAAGUUCUCGGGCCAUGGUGGAUAUCCCAAGCAGUCACGUCUCCUGCCAGACAGGCCAUCACUACCUAACAAAAGGUAUUCUAUCUGUGCCCUGUGCUUCAGGACUGCAAUUCCAGAAAUAAAAACAAGAAGACAGGAUCCUAUAAAUGUGGGCCUUGAAGUUCUUCUGGUGGGAUGCUCUCUGGAUGAACAGAAGCAAAGCAAACAGAAGAGAGAUAGCACUGCUUUUGAUCUUGGUGAUGAUAAAGGACGGUUGUGAUAGUGAAGAAUGAGAUGAAUGUGGUGAUGGUGACAACGGGGCUCAGCUCAUAUUCUUGUGGGAAAUCACAUCACAUGAGAUGGAUACUGCCUUCUCCAUUUCACAGUGAAAGAAGGCAAGACACGUAACCAGCUGCAAUGCCUAUGAAGCACAACAGUAUUAUGGCAAAAUAUCCAUAAAGGCACAAGAGUGGCUCUCACAUUGGUGGUAGCUAACAGCACUCAACAGCAGCAAAAUCACACCACAUGUUAGAAACCUAGCCCAGCUUCCUGAAACUAAUGAGGUCAUGGAUCAUAGACGAGAAUCUGUUGCUACCACUUUGUUAGACCAGCAUAACUCCCAAUUACAUUUUAAAUAGUAUUCUUAAACUUGCAGGUAAGGGUAGCUACCACUCCUCAUCAAAGAAGCUUCUAUUAGCCAGACAGUGGUGGCUCACGCCUAUAAUCCCCACACUCAAAAGGCAGAGGUAGGUGGAUCUCUAAGUUCGAGGCCCGUCUGGUCUAGAGAGGGAAUUCCAGGAUGGUCAGAGCUACACAGAGAAACCCUGUCUCAAAAAAAAAAAAACAAAAGAGGAGGAGGAAGCUUCUCUUUGCAGCAAAUAGAGCCCACGGUGGAAAACACAGCUGGACACAAUGUAGAGAUCAGUGGAUCCACCCAGCCCCAGUGGAAACCCAUACAGCACAGCUCCUGCAUCUACAGCUCGGGGAACAUCACAGAAGAGGAAACAAAAAGAUGGUAAGAACCAGCAUGUCAGGAAGUCUGCUCUGAAACAGUCUCCCCUAGAAAUGGCUGCAUAAACAAGACCAGACAAUGCCAGUUUCAACAGACAUGCUAACACAGAACUGGGGAUAUCUCAUGGGUCCCAUCCCUAGAAAAAGAACUUCUGAGAGAAGGAGAAUUAGCUUCUUCCCGGGAUGAGCCUCUUUACUGGGUAGCCAACACAAAGUAGUCAGCCCUGAAGCCAUAUACCCACAAGCAAUAAAAACAGA